GUGGAGAGCCUAACAAUUCCCUACAGGAAAGCCGUGGUAUCAACACAGACGUACGAAUGUUUUCUUUGCAUUCAAACGGACAUCUGAUCUGGAAGAACUUAAGCGGGGGGAGGGCUUUUUACUUAGUUAACCAAAUUAGUUGGAUGUGUUAAGUGAAAUGAAUAUCUGUAUAUUUUUUUUUCUCUCCUUUAUGUCAACUCUGCUGUGAAUGCUGUAUGGUGUGUGUUAUUUUGUUCAACGAUCCUGUAAGUGUGGUAAUGUGAACCGAAGGUGGGGAUUUUUGAUGGGAACAUCCAGUUCAUAGUGUGCUUUCUGUGUGUGUUGUUUUUUUUUUCCCCAGCAGAGCUCACUUGCAAGCUCAGGUGUUCCCUUGCGGGUGGAAGUUUUCCUGUCUGUAAGAUACUCAUAUGAAUGCUGUUUGCUGAAGUUCUGUGUUUGGAUGCUUUUUUACAAGAUUUGUCAAUGUAGGAAAUUCUUAAAUAAAACUGAUUUAAGUAAUACGUGUGUGUGUUUGACAGCCCCCAAGAGCGAAAGAGCUCUUAAAUUUUUAAUUGGUUUAAAGUAUCGUUUAGGAUAAAAAAAGUAAGUUUUUUUAAAAUGUUUUUUUUAGGUUUGCCUGCCUCAUGUAGCAGAAACUUCAAAACUAAGACCCGGCCUUAUCUUCAUAGCUUUUGCGAUAAACAUACCUGAAAUGCAAUUCUGUCAUAUGAAGUGCGCCAUCCCUGCUCAGCAGGCAUCACUAAUUUCCUGGGUCUAAGCAAAAAUCCCCAAUAACCCUUGAGUCUGUAGUAUUGUGUUCUCCGCCUUGCUGAGAAUAGGAUGCUAAAAACCUCAGUUUCAAUGUGACAAUGUGGUUCGACAAAGUAUUGGAAAACAUUUGGCUCCACGUGAGUUAUACAGUAACAGUAUCCUUACUCGAUACAAACCUACAACUUCCAUUGGAUAGGUAAUGGGAGCCGUCAGUUUGGUCCCAUUAAAUUUAUACACUUCUAAAAUCCCCUUUAGCUCCCCUGAUUUUCUUUGCAUUUCAGCUAGAAAUCCUAUUUCCUUUUAAAGGACAUGAGUGUAGGAGGUGAACUCUGAAAACUAUUUGCUGGGUGCUUAUUGUGGCGUUGUUGUUUGAUACUAAAACUGAAGAUGGUUCUUGGUGUAAAACAGAUCUGUGAAUAUUCCAGAGGACAUAUAGUCUUACAUUGCAUAAUCUUUACUUCACCUAAAUCCGAUCCAUUGCCAAAAUCUACCAUCUGAAUUUUGCAUUUUAGCACUUGCAUUAACACCAGCUACUGCUGCUGAGUAACACUUAAUAUGGUUUUCUCGGACCUCCCAAGGCUAAACUGUGUCAUCCCAGGAAGGAUCAUGAGGGUAAGUUUGAUACCUCACUAGCAUGGUUUCAGUAAUUUAUUUCAGCUUGUAUUUAUAAAACCCAAGGGCCACUUCUGAAUAGAAAGGGGGACCCAUGCUGUGACCAUUUUAAUGCUGCUUCAAGCACAAAGGGCUCUAACAUCCCUUCCCUCCAAUCCCUAAGCAUCUUAGAAUUGUUUUCAAACAUGAUUCAUAUCAUUAAUUUUUUUCGUUAGUGUUGAAAGUGAGUUAAUAAACAGAAUUCUCA